CCGUAGGUGAACCUGCGGAAGGAUCAUUACCUAGAGUUGUAGGCUUUGCCUACCAUCUCUUACCCAUGUCUUUUGAGUACCUUCGUUUCCUCGGCGGGUCCGCCCGCCGAUUGGACAAACUUAAACCCUUUGUAAUUGAAAUCAGCGUCUGAAAAAACAUAAUAGUUACAACUUUCAACAACGGAUCUCUUGGUUCUGGCAUCGAUGAAGAACGCAGCGAAAUGCGAUAAGUAGUGUGAAUUGCAGAAUUCAGUGAAUCAUCGAAUCUUUGAACGCACAUUGCGCCCCUUGGUAUUCCAUGGGGCAUGCCUGUUCGAGCGUCAUUUGUACCUUCAAGCUCUGCUUGGUGUUGGGUGUUUGUCUCGCCUCUGCGUGUAGACUCGCCUUAAAACAAUUGGCAGCCGGCGUAUUGAUUUCGGAGCGCAGUACAUCUCGCGCUUUGCACUCAUAACGACGACGUCCAAAAAGUACUUUUUACACUCUUGACCUCGGAUCAGGUAGGGAUACCCGCUGAACUUAAGCAUAUCAAUA
rnacentral:rRNA from 1 species